GGCAGCUCAAGCGGUGAGUUAUUGAUAAUAUAUUUAGUUCAAGCUCUUCUCAGUUUUUAUUCGAUUAAAUUCGUCAUAUUUAUCCUGCGAUACCUUUUUCUUCAUUCCUUAUUUAGUAGCUUUCUUUUUAACUUAAUCAAUGUAUCGAGAUAUAUUAUGUCAAAUAAAACAACUGGCUCAGUAAAAUGGUUUAACGAAUCUAAAGGUUUUGGAUUUAUCACCCCUGAUAACGGCGGUUCUGACCUAUUUGUUCAUUUCAAAUCAAUUGUUAGUGAAGGCUACAAAACAUUAUCUGAAGGCCAAAAGGUUUCUUUUGUUGUUGAGCAAGGUAACAAAGGUCCUCAAGCGGGUAACGUUACGUUAGUGUAAGACAUUUCUAAAAGUCUCUUCUGUCGAGGAGACUUUUGUA
rfam:Vibrio azureus NBRC 104587 DNA, contig: VAZ01S100.